AUCAGCCACCCCACCCCCAGCUCCCUCUAAGCCAAAAUAUGAUCUCAAGUAUGGCAGCGAGUGCUUGAUCCCUGCAGGAAGAGCGAGUUGGUGAAAAUCCUGCCUGGCUGGAUCAAGGUUAAGAGGGAGAGAAUGUACUGCUCAGGCCGACGUGAGGAUCCAAUCCACUCACCGGUUACAUGCCACGAUGUAAAUUAAUAAAUUCGCAUUCUGAUUUUAUCAUCUGCCUCAUCUGAGGUCUGUAGGCGUGAGUCAGCAUCCCCUAGUUUAAUCAACAUGGACACUGAGACUAUCAAGCUUUUGAGCUGAAAAGCUAAGAAUUAGACCCAGGACCAGAGUGAAAUCACCAAGAUGAGGAAAUCCAAGCUCAGAAUGGAUAAUUCACCUAAGGAAAUACAGAUGGAAAAUGGCAGAGCUGCAAUCUAAACCCAGGUCCAUCUGAUAAUAAAGCCCAGGCUCUCCUCAACCAACUUCAGAUCUAGGAUGCUUCCAGUGAGACUCCGUGCUCCCUCCCUGUGUGGUUCCCAUGGCCUUUCUUUACCUCAAGAAAAUGCAGAGUGAAAAGCAAUGGUAGCAGAAGUUUCUAGAAGUUACUUAUAUGGCAAGUGCAAGUAUUUCAGAACACAUUUGAGAUUCAGGAAGGAGGCAAAAAGGCUUCUGCUGAGCAGUCAAAAUGACGAAGUUUGUAAACUUCACUUUAUUUGGGUCCCUGCUGAAAGUCUACCUACUCUUUAAAAACAAUAACAACAACAAAAAAUGGGAACACACUAUUAACGCUGUUCUGCACAUGUAUUUUUCAAUUAACAAUUGGUGAGUAUUCCCUUUUAGCGCACAUAGAUCUACCUCAUUCAUUUAAGGGCUCUGUAGUGCUGCAUUGUGUGAAUGCACCAAAUGUGUAUUUAUCCUGCAUUCUCUAGGUGGACAUUUUAGACACUUACAAGGGUUGGGGCUCAGAAAGUGAUAUCCCAAAGGCUGAUGUUUUGACAUGCUGAGGGCCCUCAGAAGCCGCCCCCGAACCAAGGUCCCUCUAACUUCUUGUUCCCCAUACCUGCCCCACCACCAAACACAGGGAGGGACUGUCUGUCUUUGGAAAUUUCCUCAUCUGACCAAGAAAGCAUCUUUCCAAAAGAAAUGCAAUUGUCUUAAACACCCUCCCUAGAGGUCUCAUCAAAUAACCAAGAAAGAUAAACCACCAGAAGAGAUGAGACUGGGAAUCAUCACCACACCCAGACAGACUUCAUCUAUUCUUCUGAGAGCAGCUCCAAGAGAUUGCCUGGAGGACUUUAUCUGCUUAAUAAGACAAGCUUUGUUCCUGUACAGCUCCGCCCCUCACCUUCCUGUAAUAUCUGCCUCCCACCUCCCCAGUCCAUACAUCUCCUCCCUCCUGUAUGAAAAAGGGUAUACAAGCUUCUGUGCCCCAUUGGGUUAUUGGGAAAUCAUUCUCCUGUGAUUCCCCUGUGCCAUGCACACUAAAAUAAAAUUUUGUAUGCCUUUUCUCCUAUCGAUCUGCCUUUGG
rnacentral:lncRNA from 10 species